CCUACGGGAGGCUGCAGUGGGGAAUAUUGCGCAAUGGGCGAAAGCCUGACGCAGCGACGCCGCGUGCGGGAUGAAGGUCUUCGGAUCGUAAACCUCUUUCAGCAGGGAAGGACGGUCACUGUGCUAAUCAGCAGUGAAUUGACGGUACCUGCAAAGGAAGCACCGGCUAACUCCGUGCCAGCGGCCGCGGUAAUGCGGCGGGUGCGAUCGUUAAUCGGAAUUACUGGGCGUAAAGCGCUCGUAGGCGGUAUGUCAAGUCAAGGGGGAACUCCCCGCGCUAAACGUGGAACUGCAUUUGAAACUGGCAAACUGGAGUGUGUGAGAGGAUAGGGGAAUUCCAGGUGUAGGAGUGAAAUCCGUAGAUAUCUGGAGGAACAUCAGUGGCGAAGGCGACUAUCUGGCACAUAACUGACGCUGAGGAGCGAAAGCGUGGGUAGCAAACAGGAUGAGAUACCCUUGUAGUC
rnacentral:rRNA from 1 species